UACGGAGGGGGCAAGCGUUAUUCGGAAUUACUGGGCGUAAAGCGCACGUAGGCGGCAAAGUAAGUCACAGGUGAAAGCCCUUGGCUCAACCAAGGAACUGCCUUUGAAACUGCUUUGCUUGAGUCCGGGAGGGGGGAGCGGAAUUCCCAGUGUAGCGGUGAAAUGCGUAGAUACUGGGAGGAACACCGGUGGCGAAGGCGGCUCCCUGGACCGGUACUGACGCUGAGGUGCGAAAGCGUGGGUAGCAAACAGG
rnacentral:rRNA from 1 species